GGGGGCGAUUUGGAUUCGACGACGGUUACAAAACUUAGUGUGCAUGUCGUGAUGGUAGCCAAUCACGUUAAUCAAAAGCUGCAAUUUAUUAGUUGCCAAUGACGACAACUACGGUGCUCAACUGGCUGCGUAAGCAGUCAUAAUUGACACCAUCUAGUGGCUUCGGCCCUAGCGGUCUUUAACAAGGUGCCAGUACCGCGUUACUGACUGUCAUAUAGAACUGGAUCGCUGUGAAACCUGCCUGGGGUGGAUCUGCUAAACACUUAUCAGGAUCGCCAAACACGUCCUGCCCGUCGGGCUGUAUGCGGCUAAAUUAAUUGACGGAUUCUAAACAUGUAGAUCAUUAAGCAGCGGACUGGCGGACGCCGGUUCAAUUCCGGCCGCCUCCACCA
rnacentral:tmRNA from 1 species